rnacentral:lncRNA from 1 species
CCAUUCUCCCAUAACCAACAUCAGAAAAUCUCAAGCACAGAACAGACUGAAAAUCACAAACCAAGACAUCACGUAUGUCUAAUAGAUAUCAAAGCAACAAACCAGUUCCUUCCGUACAAUUCUCAAAUUCAAUUGACAAGGCUAAGGUAGCACUUGCAUACGCACAUACAGUUUAUUGAUAGCCAUGAAAACUAAACAUUUCAUGAUUAAAACAAGAAGAUAGAUCACCAAACCACCUGAUUAGGCUGCCCGUAUGAAGAAACCAUUCGAGGGUUGACUUAUUAGAAGAUCGUAGGCUAUCGAGCAGCAACCAUUCUACAGCUGACCGGAGAACGAUAUGUUGCGUUCAGCCAUCAAGGCAGGCCUAGCCGCCGGUUGCCUGGACGAGAGAAAACAAC